rnacentral:rRNA from 1 species
UGGGGAAUAUUGCACAAUGGGCGCAAGCCUGAUGCAGCCAUGCCGCGUGUGUGAAGAAGGCCUUCGGGUUGUAAAGCACUUUCAGCGGGGAGGAAGGCGGUGAGGUUAAUAACCUCAUCGAUUGACGUUACCCGCAGAAGAAGCACCGGCUAACUCCGUGCCAGCAGCCGCGGUAAUACGGAGGGUGCAAGCGUUAUUCAUAAUUACUGGUGGUAAAGCGCACGCCAGCGGUCUGUCUGGCCAGAUGGAAGAACCCUCGCCCNNNCUGCUAACCNGGAGCACUCUAUUUAGGUGNUGGCAGGCUAGUGGCGUGGAGAAGGGGGGAAGAAUUCCAGGUGUANCGGUAAAAUGGAAAAAAAAUUCGGGAAAAAAACCGGGGGCGAAAAACGCCCCCCCCUGAAAAAAAAACUGACGCUGAGGUGCAAAAGGGUGGNGAACAAAAAAAGAUAAUANUNCCUGGGGGGCCACUCCACGCAAUAUACGAUGUCUAUUUGGGAGGUUGUGCCCUUGAGGCGUGGCUUCCGGAGCUAACGCGUUAAAUCGACCGCCUGGGGAGUACGGCCGCAAGGUUA